rfam:Murine norovirus 3 strain K4, complete genome.
ACAUCCCCUCUACCGGUCCCGGGUGGGCGCGUGCCGUCCCUUCGUGGAGGUUCCUGGUCUCCGCGCGAUUACACGCCGCAGACUCAAGGCACCUACACGAACGGUCGGUUCGUGUCCUUCCCAAAGAUCGGGAGCAGUAGGGCAUAGGUUGGAAGAGAAACCCUUUUGUGAAAAUGAUUUCUGCUUACUGCUUCUUUUCUUUUGGUAGUAUUUAGAUGCAUUUU